rnacentral:rRNA from 1 species
CAGUAGCCACGGUAAUACGAAGGGUGCAAGCGUUAAUCGGAAUUACUGGGCGUAAAGCGUGCGUAGGCGGUUUGUUAAGUCUGUUGUGAAAUCCCCGGGCUCAACCUGGGAAUGGCAGUGGAUACUGGCUCGCUAGAGUGUGUCAGAGGAUGGUGGAAUUCCCGGUGUAGCGGUGAAAUGCGUAGAGAUCUGGAGGAAUACCGGUGGCGAAGGCGGCCCCCUGGACAAAGACUGACGCUCAGGUGCGAAAGCGUGGGGAGCAAACAGGAUUAGAUACCCGAGUAGUCCCUGUCUCUUAUAC